AUUGAACGCUGGCGGCAGGCCUAACACAUGCAAGUCGAGCGGUAGCACAGAGAGCUUGCUCUCGGGUGACGAGCGGCGGACGGGUGAGUAAUGUCUGGGAAACUGCCUGAUGGAGGGGGAUAACUACUGGAAACGGUAGCUAAUACCGCAUAAUGUCGCAAGACCAAAGUGGGGGACCUUCGGGCCUCAUGCCAUCAGAUGUGCCCAGAUGGGAUUAGCUAGUAGGUGGGGUAACGGCUCACCUAGGCGACGAUCCCUAGCUGGUCUGAGAGGAUGACCAGCCACACUGGAACUGAGACACGGUCCAGGCUCCUACGGGAGGCAGCAGUGGGGAAUAUUGCACAAUGGGCGCAAGCCUGAUGCAGCCAUGCCGCGUGUGUGAAGAAGGCCUUCGGGUUGUAAAGCACUUUCAGCGGGGAGGAAGGCGGUGAGGUUAAUAACCUCAUCGAUUGACGUUACCCGCAGAAGAAGCACCGGCUAACUCCGUGCCAGCAGCCGCGGUAAUACGGAGGGUGCAAGCGUUAAUCGGAAUUACUGGGCGUAAAGCGCACGCAGGCGGUCUGUCAAGUCGGAUGUGAAAUCCCCGGGCUCAACCUGGGAACUGCAUUCGAAACUGGCAGGCUAGAGUCUUGUAGAGGGGGGUAGAAUUCCAGGUGUAGCGGUGAAAUGCGUAGAGAUCUGGAGGAAUACCGGUGGCGAAGGCGGCCCCCUGGACAAAGACUGACGCUCAGGUGCGAAAGCGUGGGGAGCAAACAGGAUUAGAUACCCUGGUAGUCCACGCCGUAAACGAUGUCGAUUUGGAGGUUGUGCCCUUGAGGCGUGGCUUCCGGAGCUAACGCGUUAAAUCGACCGCCUGGGGAGUACGGCCGCAAGGUUAAAACUCAAAUGAAUUGACGGGGGCCCGCACAAGCGGUGGAGCAUGUGGUUUAAUUCGAUGCAACGCGAAGAACCUUACCUGGUCUUGACAUCCACAGAACUUUCCAGAGAUGGAUUGGUGCCUUCGGGAACUGUGAGACAGGUGCUGCAUGGCUGUCGUCAGCUCGUGUUGUGAAAUGUUGGGUUAAGUCCCGCAACGAGCGCAACCCUUAUCCUUUGUUGCCAGCGGUUAGGCCGGGAACUCAAAGGAGACUGCCAGUGAUAAACUGGAGGAAGGUGGGGAUGACGUCAAGUCAUCAUGGCCCUUACGACCAGGGCUACACACGUGCUACAAUGGCAUAUACAAAGAGAAGCGACCUCGCGAGAGCAAGCGGACCUCAUAAAGUAUGUCGUAGUCCGGAUUGGAGUCUGCAACUCGACUCCAUGAAGUCGGAAUCGCUAGUAAUCGUAGAUCAGAAUGCUACGGUGAAUACGUUCCCGGGCCU
rnacentral:rRNA from 1 species